rnacentral:rRNA from 1 species
CCUACGGGGGGCAGCAGUGAGGAAUAUUGGUCAAUGGACGAGAGUCUGAACCAGCCAAGUAGCGUGAAGGAUGACUGCCCUAUGGGUUGUAAACUUCUUUUAUAUGGGAAUAAAACGUUCCCCGUGUGGGAUUUUGUAUGUACCAUAUGAAUAAGGAUCGGCUAACUCCGUGCCAGCAGCCGCGGUAAUACGGAGGAUCCGAGCGUUAUCCGGAUUUAUUGGGUUUAAAGGGAGCGUAGGUGGAUUGUUAAGUCAGUUGUGAAAGUUUGCGGCUCAACCGUAAAAUUGCAGUUGAAACUGGCAGUCUUGAGUACAGUAGAGGUGGGCGGAAUUCGUGGUGUAGCGGUGAAAUGCUUAGAUAUCACGAAGAACUCCGAUUGCGAAGGCAGUUCACUGGACUGCAACUGACACUGAGGCUCGAAAGUGUGGGUAUCAAACAGGAUUAGAUACCCCAGUAGUC